UGAGAAACGCGUCCUCACAAAAUAGCAAAUGUGUCUUUUGUGAUUUCAGAUGACAUUGCUGAGGACCUGGACAGACUGUCGAUUGCAUCUGAUGAUGAGUUGAGUUAUUCAGAAUCGGAAGACGAAACAUCAGAUGAUGAAGAUUUAUCCUCAGAUGAUGAUGAGAGUCAAGAACUGACCACUGAGCCAGAAGAGGAAACAGCAGAUGACAAAGAUUUUUCCUCAGAUAACAUGAGCCAAAAAUUGACUGCUGGGAGCGGGAAGGUUAUGUCGAUUUCAACCACCUUGACUAGAAAUGGGGCCCAACGCAUACGCAAUUCCUCCAGACAGGUCCCAACGCCAACCAACCCUCAAAAAACACAAUUGUGUUUUCAAGCCAAUGAGCCAAUAUAUUGUCCAGGGGGGCCAGAAACCCUAGCGGGGCCCCAGA